rnacentral:sRNA from 1 species
UAACAUUUUCUAAACUACAUUUUGUUAGUUGACAACUUUUUGAUAGCUAUUCUA